rfam:Candidatus Melainabacteria bacterium GWA2_34_9 gwa2_scaffold_8147, whole genome shotgun sequence.
GGAGAGGUGUCCGAGUGGUUUAAGGUGCAGACCUGGAAAGUCUGUGAGGUGCAAGCCUCCGCGGGUUCGAAUCCCGCCUUCUCCG